rnacentral:rRNA from 1 species
CCUACGGGCGGCUGCAGUGGGGAAUUUUGCGCAAUGGGCGAAAGCCUGACGCAGCAACGCCGCGUGGGUGAUGAAGGUCUUCGGAUCGUAAAACCCUGUCGUUGGGGACGAAGGUGGGGGCGUUAAUAGCGUUUCUGCUUGACGGUACCCGGAGAGGAAGCCCCGGCUAACUCUGUGCCAGCAGCCGCGGUAAUACAGAGGGGGCAAGCGUUGUGCGGAGUUAUUGGACGUGAAGGGCGCAGAGGCGGGUGUAAGCCCCGAGCGCAACUUGGGAAAUGCAUCUGAGACUGGAAGGCUAGAGUACUGGAGAGGGUGGUGGAAUUCCGCGUGUAGCGGUGAAAGGCGUAGAGAUGAGGAGGAACACCAGUGGCGAAGGCGGCCACCUGGACAGUAACUGACGCUGAGGCGCGAAAGUGUGGGUAGCAAACAGGAUUAGAUACCCGUGUAGUC